rnacentral:tRNA from 1 species
AAAGAUUUAGUUUAAAUAAAACAUUAAUUUGUCAAAUUAAAAACACUUAAUUUAAAGUAAUCUUUA